GGGUGACUAGUCUAGUGGUCAGGACGCUUCGUUGUGGUUUCUGAAUGGAUGCCCAACGACCGAAGAAACCCCGGUUCGAUUCCGGGGUCGCCCA